UUCACAAUAAACAUACCGUUUACUGCAUUCCUCUAUCGAUAUUCGUUUUCGAGAUAUUUAAUUUUGAAAUCAGGGAGUCCUUUUCUGGACACCCUGUAGGUGAUCAUAUCACUGGGCCACAACUACUGCUAGACAGACUAACAGGACCGGUCUACCUCACAUAUAGUAGAGAUGUGUUGUCUACCCUAUUGGAUGUAGUGCCACUAAAAUGUUUGGAUGGACACGUGGCUGCAGUACGCCGGAGCUCCGACACACUUCGAUGCCGAUGGGCAGAAUCACCCGAUCAUCGCGUACAGUAAUUGACGGAUCGGUAGGGGUGGACUGUUCCGUGGCCAGCAUGGUCGGCAGAUCUGAAACCUCUAGACUAGAUUUUGUUAGGUAAUAUGAAGAGUUUGGUGUACAGUGCACAUGUAACGUCAGCGGAGGACCUUAUUGCUGGAGUCUGCAGAGCGACUUGAGAUACUUGAAAGACAAACGUCCAUAUUGGCUCACGUGUGUGAGGCUCAGCCCGCUGAUGUAGACUCUGCAUUGACAUAGGAGAUACGCAGUGUAAAUCCCGUUUCUAAUGUAGAGAGCAUGACGUGCUACUCGUGUUGGACUGAUUGACAUAAUGUGGAACACAUACCCAUCUCAGUUUUAGACACUUUCCAGCACCCAAGCCGUGUGUUACUGGAUAUGGGUUCCUUCUUGAAAACCGAUCAUUGUGCCUUCCUGCACAACAUACUAAGUGUUACCUAUGUUUUUGGGACACCCUGAAAAUGUUAAGAAAAUACACAGGUCGAUCAUUCGAUCGUUGUGGCUAUUGGCAUCGCGGAGUCCAGAGCAAUUAAAUUGUCCAGUGUGCUGUUCAGUGCGUGUCUCGUAGACAGCACGUCGUUUAAGAAAAUGCUUAAUUUUGUCAUCAUGGCAGUUGGCAUAAUGGAGUCCAAAGCAGUUAAAUUGUCCAGGAUGCUGUUUUGUGCGGUUAGUGGUACAGCCAGUGCGGAGAUGGGAAGUGGUGCGGACACUCUGGCCACUGCAGGAAUACGAACUGUCCGCGGUGACUUCUCACGCAGCCUCAAACGUGCCGGAGAGUGGCAAGUGACUAGGAACCCAGCCGCUUGGUGCCUGAGGCAGACUCACUGACUUCUCUGUGUCCAAAGUGCUGUAGUGGGAAGCAUCAGCUCUUUGUGUUAAGGGUGCAUCUGAAUUUAUGUAUCCAUAUUUGUCCUUGAAAUAAAGUCUUACGCAACUGCUCAA